rnacentral:tRNA from 1 species
GCCUUGAUAGUUCAGUGGCAGAAUGCUUUCUUGGUAAGAAAGAGGUCGUGAGUCCGAUUCUCACUCAAGGCU